UACGGAGGGUGCAAGCGUUAAUCGGAAUUACUGGGCGUAAAGCGUGCGCAGGCGGUUUGUUAAGUCUGCUGUGAAAUCCCCGAGCUCAACUUGGGAAUCGCAGUGGAUACUGGCAAGCUGGAGUACGGUAGAGGAAGGUGGAAUUCCCGGUGUAGCAGUGAAAUGCGUAGAGAUCGGGAGGAACACCAGUGGCGAAGGCGGCCUUCUGGACCAAUACUGACGCUCAUGCACGAAAGCGUGGGGAGCAAACAGG
rnacentral:rRNA from 1 species